CAUAAUGCCAGCGUAAAGAACGAAGUCGGUUGGGGGCGGGAGGUCGGGAUAAUGGAUGGUUGUAGACCUUAUUCAUGAAUGAAGCAUGUCUCUGUGGAAGAGAAGAGCGUAAAGUUUCAACGUUAGAAGGAAUUGGUGGAAUAUCAGUAGGAUCUAAAAAUCCGGAUGAUUCUGCCAUGUCAGAAUGCCACGAAGUAGCCGAAUACAAGUCCUCAUACGACGAAUAACAUAAAGAUGCGGGAUCUGGAUUAGGAGAUUCAGUACCUGAAAUGGACAUUGGUUUUGACGGGGAUAGGGCUGAGUGAUCUGUGGGCUGAGGAAUUUGACCUACACUACUGGAAGGCGAAGUUAUGGAAGGGUCGAAAAGAAUAGCAAGAUCUGGAGGAGAAAAGGUGACAGAUCGAUGCUUGGAAGAAAAGGAUGAAGUACGGGAAGGUAAACGGGAAUGCGUGGGAAGAUCAGCGAUAAACCAAGGAUGUUGCAUUAUUUCUGCAACUUUGAUUCGUGAAGUAGGAAGCACCAUUAACAUUUGACGAAUGAGAUCUGAGGCUGAAGAAGAUACAAAACUAGGAAUGGUGUAGAUUCCUUUACAAACGCGACUUAAUACAUUGGAGAUGGUUACAUCCUCAAAGGGAAACUCGCCGACGAGCAUCAAAUACAAUAAGAUUCCGCAACCCCAUACAUCUA